UCUCCGUUGGUGAACCAGCGGAGGGAUCAUUACUGGAACCGCAAGAUCCCACAACCCUGUGAACCUACCGAAACGUUGCCUCGGCGGGUGGCCGGCCCCCGCGCCGGGCGCUGCGCCCGCCGGCGGCCCCCUACUCUGUCCCUGCAGCGUGGCAUCUCAGAGUCCCAGAAAACAAGUCAAAACUUUCAACAACGGAUCUCUUGGCUCUA
rnacentral:misc_RNA from 1 species